GAUGAACGCUGGCGGCGUGCCUAAUACAUGCAAGUCGAGCGAACGGACGAGAAGCUUGCUUCUCUGAUGUUAGCGGCGGACGGGUGAGUAACACGUGGAUAACCUACCUAUAAGACUGGGAUAACUUCGGGAAACCGGAGCUAAUACCGGAUAAUAUUUUGAACCGCAUGGUUCAAAAGUGAAAGACGGUCUUGCUGUCACUUAUAGAUGGAUCCGCGCUGCAUUAGCUAGUUGGUAAGGUAACGGAUUACCAAGGCAACGAUGCAUAGCCGACCUGAGAGGGUGAUCGGCAACACAGGAACUGGGACACAGUCAAAACUCCGACGGGAGGCAGCAGUAGGGAAUCUUCCGCGAUGGGCGAAAGCCUGACAGAGCAACGCCGCGUGAGUGAUGACAGUCUUCGGAUCUUAAAACUCUGUUACUAGGGAAGAACAUAUGUGUAAGUAACUGUGCACAUCUUGACGGUACCUAAUCAGAAAGCCACGGCUAACUACGUG
rnacentral:rRNA from 1 species